UGUGUGGCUCAGUGGUGGAGCGCUUGCUUGGCAUGCAUGAGGCCUUGAGUUCAAUCCCCAAUACUAA
rnacentral:tRNA from 1 species